rnacentral:rRNA from 1 species
AUUGAACGCUGGCGGCAGGCCUAACACAUGCAAGUCGAGCGAGCGGCGGACGGGUGAGUAAUGUCUGGGAAACUGCCUGAUGGAGGGGGAUAACUACUGGAAACGGUAGCUAAUACCGCAUACCAUCAGAUGUGCCCAGAUGGGAUUAGCUAGUAGGUGGGGUAACGGCUCACCAAGGCGACGAUCCCUAGCUGGUCUGAGAGGAUGACCAGCCACACUGGACUGUGAACACGGUCCGGACUCCUACGGGAGGGAGCAGGGGGAAAUAUUGCACAUUGGGCGCAAGCCUGAUGCAGCCAUGCCGCGUGGGUGAAGAAGGCCUUCGGGUUGUAAAGCACUUUCAGCGGGGAGGCGUUACCGGCAGAAGAAGCACCGGCUAACUCCGUGCCAGCAGCCGCGGUAAUUC